rnacentral:sRNA from 1 species
UUUUACAAUUGAGACCCAGAGAAGGCCAAUUAGUCAUGCUUAUAUUAUGCCAUCAGCUGGCAUUUCUGUGACUAGCUUCCCAGGUUGCUGAUGCCUAUACUUUUAAGUUAAAUCCAAGACGGUCUGCAUCACUUUUUCAGUGGUUUAUGCCUUACCUAUGAAAGAAAUGUAGUCUAUUGAGCAUAUUUCUGUGAAACAUUACUAGGCUUCAGCCCCUUCUUUCCCCAGGAAGCCGAGGGAAGAGUGGCUGGGAAGUCCUGAUUUGCAGAUUCUCCUGACCACCUGGACAGGUGUGCAUUCACAACUCUCUUGAUUUUCUAGAGGAGUAUGACAUCAGAACUCAAGUGUCUGCCGUUGUUCAGCGCAAAUAUUGGACUUCCAGACCUGAGCCCAGCACCAGGGAACAGUUCCUCCAAUAUGCGCAUGACAUCACAUUCGACCCGGACACAGCACACAAGUAUCUCCGGCUGCAGGAGGAGAACCGCAAGGUCACCAACACCACGCCCUGGGAGCAUCCCUACCCGGACCUCCCCAGCAGGUUCCUGCACUGGCGGCAGGUGCUGUCCCAGCAGAGUCUGUACCUGCACAGGUACUAUUUUGAGGUGGAGAUCUUCGGGGCAGGCACCUAUGUUGGCCUGACCUGCAAAGGCAUCGACCGGAAAGGGGAGGAGCGCAACAGUUGCAUUUCCGGAAACAAUUUCUCCUGGAGCCUCCAAUGGAACGGGAAGGAGUUCACGGCCUGGCACAGUGACAUGGAGACCCCACUCAAAGCUGGCCCUUUCCGGAGGCUCGGGGUCUAUAUCGACUUCCCAGGAGGGAUCCUUUCCUUCUAUGGUGUAGAGUAUGACGCCAUGACUCUGGUUCACAAGUUUGCCUGCAAGUUUUCAGAACCAGUCUAUGCUGCCUUCUGGCUUUCCAAG